AUUGAACGCUGGCGGCAUGCCUUACACAUGCAAGUCGAACGGCAGCACGGGGCAACCUGGUGGCGAGUGGCGAACGGGUGAGUAAUGCAUCGGAACGUACCUUUCAGUGGGGGAUAACGUAGCGAAAGUUACGCUAAUACCGCAUAUUCUGUGAGCAGGAAAGCAGGGGAUCGCAAGACCUUGCGCUGAUUGGGCGGCCGAUGUCAGAUUAGCUAGUUGGGGAGGUAAAGGCUCACCAAGGCGACGAUCUGUAGCGGGUCUGAGAGGAUGAUCCGCCACCCUGGAACUGAGACACGGUCCAGACUCCUACGGGAGGCAGCAGUGGGGAAUUUUGGACAAUGGGCGAAAGCCUGAUCCAGCCAUGCCGCGUGCAGGAUGAAGGCCCUCGGGUUGUAAACUGCUUUUGUACGGAACGAAAAAGUUCUCUCUAAUACAGGGGGCGAAUGACGGUACCGUAAGAAUAAGCACCGGCUAACUACGUGCCAGCCGCCGCGGUAACAC
rnacentral:rRNA from 1 species